rnacentral:rRNA from 1 species
AAUGGAGGAAACUCUGAUGCAGCAACGCCGCGUGGAGGACGAAGGUUUUCGGAUUGUAAACUCCUGUCUUUUGGGACGAUAAUGACGGUACCAAAAGAGGAAGCCACCGCUAACUACGUGCCAGCAGCCGCGGUAAUACGUAGGGGGCAAGCGUUNUCCGGAAUCACUGGGCGUAAAGGGUGCGUAGGCGGCUUAUCAAGCCAGGGGUGAAAGGCAUUGGCUCAACCGAUGUAAGCCUUUGGAACGGAUAGGAUUGAGUGCAGGAGAGGUAAGUGGAAUUCCUAGUGUAGAGGUGAAAUUCGUAGAUAUUAGGAGGAACACCAGUGGCGAAGGCGACUUACUGGACUGUAACUGACGCUGAGGCACGAAAGCGUGGGUAGCGAA